rnacentral:tRNA from 1 species
GGUCUCGCUUGAUCAGGAUAUAGCUUGUAGACCGAGGAGUAGACCGCCGUCGAUCAGGUCGGCUCGUGCGACUUUGGGCAUCUGAUAGGCUAUGCUACGGAGGUUGCUAAAACACUCUCCCCCGCUGUCGAUCCCUGUACUAAGGAGCACAUGGCCUGGAAUGCGGUGGUGGCACAAAAGGGGUUUUUUUGUCCGUGGGUGAGGUUGCAUUUCUUGAACAACCAUGGCACCUACCGCCCAUUUAUGGACGGCAUGACUCGAAAUACUAGAAGGAUCAAUCUUUACUAGUAUCUUUUUGUACCCCGCAAAAACUACGAUGUCCAAGUGUGAUACUUGAGGGUUUUAGCACAGAAGCCCUAAGAGUUGAUUGACUGCAGCCUAUGUUCUGUUCAAGAUACACCCGUAUCCAAUCAAGGACAGCGGCUUCUCCUGCUCCUUCUCCACAACCCUGUAAAUUAACCGCUCAUUCACAGUCUGCAUCCGGUCUCGCAUGUCAUUUUCCUUGACCUAACCCAUAACAUCAACGGUGUCAGUCUUAUCUGCUCUCAUUCCAAAAAUUCGCAGUACAUAGGAUUUAUAUAUAGUCAAAGGGGGUGAAACAGGGGAAUCACCAUAUAUCGACCGGUAGGCUUGCCUUCAUCGUCUUUUACGAGCGAGUCUAUGACGCCCUUGUGUCGGUAUGGAUCUAUUAUCAAUAACGGUCGUUAAUCUCAAUCCCAUAUAAUAUCUAGGUAGGUGGGUGAGGAGGAGGGCAUACCGUCGAUAGGACUGUACUCAAUCCACUGUCCAGGCUUGAAUCUCGGCAUAUUUGUUGGCGGUUGAUCGAAACGAAGCACAAAACACAGCAAAAUCAGGACGAAUAAAUAUCAUUAAUUGGUCUAGCUAAUGCCUAAAUACAAAACACAAAAGAAAGAAAGAAAUAAACCGCGCAUCAAAAAUAGACUCUCUCAGUAUGAUUAAGAAUGAUAUCAUGUGGUGGUGGCAUUCAAUGUUUUUUUGUCCGUACCUACCUACAACCACGGUACCUCUAGUGGUUAGGUUAGGGUUACCGGUAACCACAAAGACAAAAAGAAAGAUGACGGAAGCGUGGUUCGAACACGCGCCACUUUCGUGAGUAGGGAGCUUGGUGAUUUUGAAACAAUCACAGCCUUAAAUCUACCGCCUUGGACCACUCGGCCAUUCCGCCUGAUAUAAUAAUUUGCCAACUCCGGGUUGGGUCUAAGAGACUGAAAGAUAGAAUAUGAGAGGUUAGUUAGGGUUAUGAAUAGUAUUCUAUUACGGUAGCCCUAUCUAUAACUCGACGGCAAGAGUCGUGUCAGGGCUGGUCGGGUGUGGUCUAGGAUAGGGAUUGAAUGUGUGAU